UACGUAGGGUGCAAGCGUUGUCCGGAAUUAUUGGGCGUAAAGAGCUCGUAGGCGGUUUGUCGCGUCGAAUGUGAAAACCCGGGGCUCAACCCCGGGCCUGCAUUCGAUACGGGCAGACUAGAGUUCGGUAGGAGAGUGGAAUUCCUGGUGUAGCGGUGAAAUGCGCAGAUAUCAGGAAGAACACCCGUGGCGAAGGCGGCUCUCUGGGACGGUACUGACGCUGAGACGCGAAAGCGUGGGGAGCGAACAGG
rnacentral:rRNA from 1 species